rnacentral:rRNA from 1 species
GUUAGGAAUCUUCCACAAUGGGGGCAACCCUGAUGGAGCAACACCGCGUGCUGGAUGAAGGCCUUCGGGUCGUAAACAGCUUUUGUAUACGAAGAAUAUGACGGUAAUAUACGAAUAAGGGUCGGCUAACUACGUGCCCGCAGCCGCGGUCAUACGUAGGACCCAAGCGUUAUCCGGAGUGACUGGGCGUAAAGAGUUGCGUAGGCGGCUUAUUAAGCGAGUAGUGAAAUCUGGUGGCUCAACCAUCAACACAUUGCUCGAACUGAUAGGCUUGAGAAUGGUAGAGGUAGUUGGAAUUUCUUGUGUAGGAGUGAAAUCCGUAGAUAUAAGAAGGAACACCAAUGGCGUAGGCAGACUACUGGACCAUUUCUGACGCUGAGGCACGAAAGCGUGGGGAGCGAACCGGAUUAGAAACCCCAGUAGUCC